rnacentral:rRNA from 1 species
AGUGAACGCUGGCGGUAGGCCUAACACAUGCAAGUCGAACGGCAGCACAGUAAGAGCUUGCUCUUACGGGUGGCGAGUGGCGGACGGGUGAGGAAUACAGCGGAAUCUACUUUUUCGUGGGGGAUAACGUAGGGAAACUUACGCUAAUACCGCAUACGACCUACGGGUGAAAGCAGGGGAUCUUCGGACCUUGCGCGAUUGAAUGAGCCGAUGUCGGAUUAGCUAGUUGGCGGGGUAAAGGCCCACCAAGGCGACGAUCCGUAGCUGGUCUGAGAGGAUGAUCAGCAACACUGGAACUGAGACACGGUCCAGACUCCUACGGGAGGCAGCAGUGGGGAAUAUUGGACAAAGGGCGCAAGCCUGAUCCAGCCAUACCGCGUGGGUGAAGAAGGCCUUCGGGUUGUAAAGCCCUUUUGUUGGGAAAGAAAAGCAGCAGGUUAAUACCCCGCUGUUCUGACGGUACCCAAAGAAUAAGCACCGGCUAACUUCGUG